rnacentral:rRNA from 1 species
AGACAGCAGUAGCCACGGUAAUACGUAGGUGGCAAGCGUUGUCCGGAAUUAUUGGGCGUAAAGCGCGCGCAGGCGGAUCAGUUAGUCUGUCUUAAAAGUUCGGGGCUUAACCCCGUGAUGGGAUGGAAACUGCUGAUCUAGAGUAUCGGAGAGGAAAGUGGAAUUCCUAGUGUAGCGGUGAAAUGCGUAGAUAUUAGGAAGAACACCAGUGGCGAAGGCGACUUUCUGGACGAAAACUGGCGCUGAGGCGCGAAAGCCAGGGGAGCGAACGGGAUUAGAUACCCCCGUAGUCCCUGUCUCUUAUACA